rnacentral:rRNA from 2 species
UCGCUCAACGGAUAAAAGCUACCCCGGGGAUAACAGGCUUAUCUCCCCCAAGAGUCCACAUCGACGGGGAGGUUUGGCACCUCGAUGUCGGCUCAUCGCAUCCUGGGGCUGUAGUCGGUCCCAAGGGUUGGGCUGUUCGCCCAUUAAAGCGGUACGCGAGCUGGGUUCAGAACGUCGUGAGACAGUUCGGUCCCUAUCCGUCGUGGGCGUAGGAAAUUUGAGAGGAGCUGUCCUUAGUACGAGAGGACCGGGAUGGACACACCGCUGGUGUACCAGUUGUCUUGCCAAAGGCAUCGCUGGGUAGCUAUGUGUGGACGGGAUAAGUGCUGAAAGCAUCUAAGCAUGAAGCCCCCCUCAAGAUGAGAUUUCCCAUAGCGCAAGCUAGUAAGAUCCCUGAAAGAUGAUCAGGUUGAUAGGUCAGAGGUGGAAGCGUGGCGACAUGUGUAGCUGACUGAUACUAAUCGAUCGAGGACUUAACCAAAUU